rnacentral:rRNA from 1 species
UACGUAGGGGGCAAGCGUUAUCCGGAUUUACUGGGUGUAAAGGGAGCGUAGACGGCUGUGCAAGCCAGAUGUGAAAGCCCGGGGCUCAACCCCGGGACUGCAUUUGGAACUGUGUAGCUGGAGUGUCGGAGAGGCAGGCGGAAUUCCUAGUGUAGCGGUGAAAUGCGUAGAUAUUAGGAGGAACACCAGUGGCGAAGGCGGCCUGCUGGACGAUGACUGGCGUUGAGGCUCGAAAGCGUGGGGAGCAAACAGG